rnacentral:rRNA from 1 species
UACGUAGGGUGCAGGCGUUAAUCGGAAUUACUGGGCGUAAAGCGUGCGCAGGCGGUUUUGUAAGCCAGAUGUGAAAUCCCCGGGCUUAACCUGGGAAUGGCAUUUGGGACUGCAAGGCUUGAGUGUGGCAGAGGAGACUGGAAUUCCUGGUGUAGCAGUGAAAUGCGUAGGAUAUCAGGAGGAACACCGAUGGCGAAGGCAGGUCUCUGGGCUAACACUGACGCUCAUGCACGAAAGCGUGGGGAG